AGUGAACGCUGGCGGUAGGCCUAACACAUGCAAGUCGAACGGCAGCACAGUAAGAGCUUGCUCUUACGGGUGGCGAGUGGCGGACGGGUGAGGAAUACAUCGGAAUCUACUUUUUCGUGGGGGAUAACGUAGGGAAACUUACGCUAAUACCGCAUACGACCUACGGGUGAAAGCAGGGGAUCUUCGGACCUUGCGCGAUUGAAUGGGCCGAUGUCGGAUUAGCUAGUUGGCGGGGUAAAGGCCCACCAAGGCGACGAUCCGUAGCUGGUCUGAGAGGAUGAUCGGCGGCACUGGAACUGAGACACGGUCCAGACUCCUACGGGAGGCAGCAGUGGGGAAUAUUAGACAAUGGGCGCAAGCCUGAUCCAGCCAUACCGCGUGGGUGAAGAAGGCCUUCGGGUUGUAAAGCCCUUUUGUUGGGAAAGAAAAGCAGCAGGUUAAUACCCCGCUGUUCUGACGGUACCCAAAGAAUAAGCACCGGCUAACUUCGUG
rnacentral:rRNA from 1 species